ACGGUGAGAGGUUUUUGUACGGCGACUCGAUCAGUUUGUAUCACUGUGGUGGACUUUUGGUGGAGGAACCAGGCUGGAUGUUGGAAGUGAUGUCCGUCCCACCCUGAUGGUGCUGCCCCCCUCCAGCGAGGAGCUGCAGCAGGGGAGGGCCACGCUCAUGUGUCUGGCCAACAAGGGCUUCCCCUCGGACUGGAGUCUGUCCUGGAAGGUGGACGGCAGCAGCGGCGGCAGCUGGGACGAGAGCAGGAGUCCCGGCGUGCUGGACAAGGACGGCCGCUACAGCUGGAGCAGCACCCUGAGGCUCCCUGCAGACCAGUGGAGGAAGGUGGGCUCUGUGACCUGUGAGGCCACCCAGGGCUCCCAGACUCCGCUGUCAGAGACACUGACCAGAGACCAGUGUUCCCAGUCCUGAGCUGCCUCGCUGGGACUCCGCUGCUGGUUUUCGUCUGCUGCUGCUCUCACUCUGCACUCAGGAACUUUCUCUGUCUUUGAUUUCACAGCUUUCGGCAGCAGCAUCUACCAGCUUGUUGCAAAGUUUCAAUAUUGUUUCACCGUUUCCACGUAAUAAAGACGUCUUCAUCCAA